ACGAACGCUGGCGGCGUGCUUAACACAUGCAAGUCGAGCGGUAAGGCCCUUUCGGGGGUACACGAGCGGCGAACGGGUGAGUAACACGUGGGUGACCUGCCCUCAGCUCUGGGAUAAGCCUGGGAAACUGGGUCUAAUACUGGACGUGACUCCACGGUGCAUGUCGUGGGGUGGAAAGCCUUGUGCGGCUGAGGAUGGGCCCGCGGCCUAUCAGCUUGUUGGUGGGGUGAUGGCCACCAAGGCGACGACGGGUAGCCGGCCUGAGAGGGCGACCGGCCACACUGGGACUGAGACACGGCCCAGACUCCUACGGGAGGCAGCAGUGGGGAAUCUUGCGCAAUGGGCGAAAGCCUGACGCAGCGACGCCGCGUGAGGGAUGACGGCCUGUGU
rnacentral:rRNA from 1 species